ACACAGCCGAGGGGUCUCUGACACACACACACCCCUCACUCCUCACAGGGAUCAAUCGCGACCACACGUUUUGGCCGGUGCUUUUAUUUAUUUGGCCGACCCGCGGUAUGACCGGCCUUAAACGUUAUAUAUAGCAAAUGUCUUCCUAAAUCAACACAAUAGGAUAGCUCGCAGCCACCAGCUCGCUUCUCCUUCAAGGAACCUCCCCCCCCGCCCUUCCACAUCCUUUCUUCUUCUUCUUUUUUUUUUUUUUUUUUUUUUUUUUAACAACUGGGGAUAUUUUAUACCCUGUAGUUUUGGAUUUGAUCCAUUGCUUUAAGCUUGAUGGAGGGUUCUGCAGACAAGGAGAUGUAUAUACACUAUUAUACAGCCAUCAUUGAGAUUACUAACAGUGAGUCUCUUGUCAGCCUGACGGUCCUGCUUUGAAACACUACUCACAUUAUCCUGAUUUUUCAAAAUUGGGGGUAAGGGAAGGGAGGGGAGAUACAAUUUCCCACUGCCCCUUUUGUUAAUUGUUUUCUUUCCUCGGAAUUACAUUCACAACCCAAUCGGGCCCGUUUUCACGUAGUGUCUUUGUAUUUCUAGUGGAAGCCACGUGGGGGUGGGAGAAGAGAUCCUGACAUCCCUCCUCAGGCAUCCAUCCGAAUACCCUCCGCACACAAGCCCUUGCACACCAGUGACCACAAACAUGGGGCAACCUGCCCCCCACCCCCACUGCGGUCCCAAAAGUGUCAGGUCGAGGAGCCUCCGACGCCUCCCCACAGAUGGGUAAUAUCAUUUCAUUUUUUCAGGUGGCUGCACCUUGCACCGAGGAAUCCAGGGAAAAAUGUCCAGCGGGGAUGCCCUCAUUGAAAAAAGAGACGAGAGGGGAAAAACACCCCCAAACCUUUGUCAGACAAGCCUUGAGAGAAAGGGGGAAGGAGAGAGAGAGGGACAGGAGCUGUGAUAAGAGAGUCACCUUGGGCAUUGGUCGCCUUCCCCACCUCUGCAGUUCCAGCCUUAAUUCUCCAGCUAUUUUGCGCUGAAGGUGAUCAGAAGGGAGAAGGGGUAGGUGCUGAAGUAUUUAAGGAAGCAUUUAAACCCAGAGUCUUCAAUGAAUGAAGAAGGGGGUGGUGGGGGAGUGGGGGAGAAAAAAAAAGUUGGAAAAUGGAUUCGCUGACAAGUAAGGAUAAUAAAUGAGCGGCGCUUUCAGAUAGAUAUCUCAGACGUGAAAUUGCACCCAGCUGGUUGUGUAAGCAAACAAAUAGUUUCAUGUUAGGGACUCUCGACUUGUGGCUUGAUGAAUAGAACACGACAGAGGUAAAUGGCUCUUUAACUCAUUUAGGAAUAAAACUCUUUGGCUUCCUAAGUAAAAGACCUGGUGACGCCAUGGAUCCUGAGCAAGCACUUUAACAAGAGUUUUAUUAGUUUCCACUUGUGCUCUCGAAUCUCCACCCUAGCUUACCUCCUCCAUUACGCAUCUGGAUUUUUUUCCCCCUUUACCCUCUUUUUGCUUUUCUUCCACCUUCCUUCUCUUUCUCUUUCUCUCUCUCUCCUUUUUUCUUUUUGUUGUUGUUUUUCUCUAUUUUUUUCUCCUUUUACAUUAUUUUCCCCUCGAAAACGCCUUUUCGUAGGAGGGAUACCCCACACCACCAGGAAACCUGGCAGGUUUGCAAGGUACCCGGGCAAGUCGUGCGAGGGGUUUGCUGGUGGCAGCCAUGAGUUGUGGCUUUUGAAAUGCAUUUAUUUCCCUUUCUUACUGCACUACGGAAUCACUGCAGAACACUCAUUCUCAGCCGCUCUGACCCACUGGGGAUUAAAUGGGAGGGGGGGGGUGUCUAAACAAAAAAAAUCUCACGUCAAAGUCAGUGACUGUGAAGCCAAUUAGAAAUGGAGACUUUAAAAACAAAUAUAUAGGCACGUUUUCGUGGAGGUCACGCCGCUUCUGAAAUUAGCACUAAGAUGGAAAGAAACGGGAAUAAAAGUGGGCAAAGGCGAGGGGACCGAUUCCUACCUCUCUCAGAAAAGCAGAGACCAAACAGGAUAAACACACGGGGCGGGCUAAGAAAAAGACCACCAAGAAAACCCUCAAAAAAACAAACCUCCAAACUCACUACUUCAAGACUUAAAAACUAACCCUUUGAAUAGUGAAAAUGGCCCAUGAAACCGGAGGAAGCAUGUCGACAGUGUCCGUAAUAGCCGUGCACACGCGUUCGCGGACAUUGCCUAUGAAUGGCUGCGCGCUCGGACUCCGCUGUGGGGGCGGCUGCAGCAAGAAUUGACGCCCCCCCGCCUCCCGCCGUCCCUCUGUCCGUCCGCCGGAGGGUUCAUCCCCGCCAGCCUUGCUUGCGCAUCCCUCGGCCGUGGGGUCACAUCUGCUGUGCGUUGGGAAGUUGCGUGGCUGCUGUACCCCACAGGUAAUUUAACAAACAUAUAUGUGUUAAAAAAAAAAAAAAAAAAAGAAAGAAAGAAAAAAUAGAAAACAAAGGGUCUAUUAAGUCCUUUCCGUCGGAUAACAUACAUUUCUCUCUUUGCGUGAGGAACCAAACACUUUCCUAGGGGUAAAGCAACGCAGAAUUCACUUUUCCUUGCAUUAGUUCUGCUGCCACUCGCAAUGACCCCGAGCCGGAGUUUUUCCACGCGAGACCCUCCACGUACCUCGCAGGGAAAGACCCUUUUUAAAUCUGGCCCAGCCGCUUUUCGUGGUGACUGCGAGAGAGGCCACUCUCCGUGGGGUCACAUCCCCACGCCCGCCAAUUCCACUUCAUUUCGAGGGGUCCGAGGGAAGUUUGUCGAUACCCCUCCCCGCGGGAAUGAGCUCAUCGCCCUCUGCCCUGAGGAGCUCCCCCGCCUCACCUCGGGUUCAACCUACCAUUUAGCACCAUUUCCAAAUAUUUAUUCGAUUGCACAUAUAGAAAAGGCCUAAUUGGGCAGUGGGAGGAGGCGAACUAGUUAGCGAGGAGCUAAGAGGUGGGGGGGCCUUUUGUAUCUGUCGUGCCCUGAGCGAGUCCCCUGCCUUGACUGGGGUGGGAGGGUUGUUGCUCCCUCCCCCGUCAAAUCCCACCUACUCCCUGCUUUCCCCCCCGCCUUGAAGCGCUGUCGGGGUGAGCGUAGAAGGGCCGCGGAGCCCUGCACAGCAAGGGCGGGGUGUGGAGAGAUGGAGGGUGGAGGAAUGGAGGGAUGGAGGGAUCGAGAAUGGAGGGUGGAGGGGUCGAGGGAUCGAGGGAUCGAGGGAUCGAGGGAUCGAGGGAUAGAGGGAUAGAGGGAUGGAGGGAUGAAGGGAUGGAGGGGUAGAGGGUGGAGGGAUGGAAGGAUGGAGAAUGGGGAUGGAGGGAUGGAAGAUGGAGGGUGUAGGGAUGGAGGUUGGAGGGAUGGAGGGAGGGAUGGAGGGGUGGAGGGUGGAGGGAUGGAGGAAUGGAGGGUGGAGGGAUGGAGGGAUAGAGGGAUAGAGGGACAGAGGGAUAGAGGGAUAGAGGGAUUGAGUGUGGAGGGAUGGAGGGGUGGAGGGAUGGAAGAAUAAAAGAAUGGACGGAUGGAGGGAUGGAAGGAUACAAGAAUGGAGGGAUGGAAGAAUGGAAGGAUGGAGCAGGGGACCCUGCCCAACCCGCCCAGCAGGCCUUGCGGGAUCCGAGCCCUGAGGACAGUGCCCCAGUGCCCAGCAACUAAAAGGCAGGAAAAAUGGAUCUGGAGUUGCUUUCAAAUCACAAAUAGCGCUCGGUGACGUGAUGAUACAAUAUUUUUAGCCAUGGUAUGAGUGCCCGAGAGGCUGGAGGCUGGCAAAGGAAAACAUCCAUCGACACAACGCAGACUGGGGUAGUUAACACUUCAGAACACGAUACUGUCUUAUAAGCAAAGUUUAAUAAGGGAUUGAAACACUUCUUUCUAGGCACAUACAUGGAAAUAAGUGCAUCUUGUACACCCCCUCUACACCUGCAAGUUUCUUGGCAACCAGUAUGUUGUUAUUAUUAUUCAUAAAUAUGAAAAUUAAUUGAAAAAUACGUUUCUGACCUACGAAAAAGUUUAUCUGUUUUCAUCAGUGGGAUAUCACUGUAAUGAAUAUAUUUACAUCUCAUUGGAAGAAACCGAGACCUGUCUUUCUCUUCCGUAUCCCCAUUUGUUUGGUUUAAUUUUUUUCCUGUUCUGUUGGUUUUGUGUGUGGGUGGGUUUUUGUUGUUGUUGUUUUGCUGAGUUUUACAUUGUUGGUUUUGGCUUCUGUUUGUUUGUUUCUAAUGACUAACCCAGUUGAGUCCCUAGUCACCUAUCCCACCCAAAAGUGAUGCUGAAGAGGUGCUCAGAGUACUGAGCAUCUCCCUUGGCAGCCUGGAGGGGCUGCUGGACCCCCCUCUGCCCAAGGAAGGUGACCAGGGUGAGGAACAAAGCUGUCGCCUGCACAGCGUCCAUGUGAGAAAAGGGAGGACAUCUGUCUGUCUGUCUAUUUCCUAUCCUUGUGCCCCAAGGUCUGGAAUCAUCCAUCCCGCCCCCCCCCCCAGCACCUAUGAGUACAGGCCGCUUCUCCACCCUGAAAUGGGCUCUACCCCCAUAGAGGAUCUGCCCGCAAUGUUGAUUAUCCAGCUAUAAGUGCCUACUGUAUAGAGCUGCUCUCGCCUCGGAUCUGCUGCGCCUAGAAUAUUAAAAACCCCAAGCGGGUUGGAUUGAAGGAUCUUGUUAAUGCAAAAAAAAAAAAGGAGAGAGAGGGGGAGAGAGAGAAGGAGAGUAUGGAGGACAGCAAAUUAAAAGGAAAACAUUGCCUGUGACUCCACAAACUGAAAAGCCUGCCUCAUCCGAGCUUGUUUGGAGGGCACAGGAGGUGUCUGUGAGAGGGGGGGAAUGUUAUUUUUAAAGAUCCAGCUUUAUUAAUACGUUAAGAAAGAGCUCCCUUGGUAGUAUGUGUUCUUACAGCUCCGUCUCAGAUCCUAUAAAACAUUAAUGCACUGAAAGCUGUUACAGAGAUCUGCACCACCAGCUAGACGCAUUGUGAAGCCUUUACCUUCAAAGGAGCUCCAUUACAGAAACAAUUUUAAAUUUUCUUUGCCAAAAAAAAAAAAAGGCAUGAGCUGAAACCAAGCAGGGCUUUUGGCACAGGGCUUGGGCCCCUGAGGUGGGCAACCAUGGCAUACGUGGCCAUGGCACAUGAGCACACACGAAACGCGCUGGCUUGCCACCCAACGAGCAAGCUUCCAGUUGGAUUUCUAUAUUAAUGGGCUGGGAAUACCCUCCACACGCAGCGACUGGAGUCAGGAGAAACAGCGAGAGGGAUGUUUCGGCUGACAGCAAGCACAAGGCAUGCACAUCGGAGCACACGCCGGGGUCUGUGAGUCCUUGGGGUGGAAAAGAAGAGAAAAGAAGCAAAAAAAAAAAAAAAAAAAAAAGAAAAAGAAAA